AUACCCCUCAAGCAUUGCUUGGUGUUGGGCUAUGUCCUUUAAGGGGACCAGCCCGUAAGUUGUAGGCGGCCAUCGGUGGCCCCCCAGCGUAGCAGGCUAACGCACUCGCCUGGGGGUGGCCCAUAUGGCCCGUCCAAAUUUUAUCUUAAAAG
rnacentral:misc_RNA from 1 species